CCCAUUCGUAUUACAUGUCCCCAGAUAGCCUGGAUCUGAGUGCAUAUUAUUAGCGAAUAGCGCUCAGAUCCCACACACAUAGUUCAAUCGCCAUGGAGUCAAAGUUCUUACAGUCUUUCGGUAUACGAAUGACUCCAUGGGAGGGCUAUCUGGGUUAAGUCUUUCGUAUGUUCUCAAUCUCCCGAACGGCCGGUGUUCGCAUGCUUUCGUGGAGGCAGCCAGGCGUUCCCUUGUUUCAGCGGUGUUCGGCAGAAAAAGUGUCCGUUUUCAGUUCCAUAGAAAUAGAGCCAAACACCGCUGGGCGUUCGCAUGAUUUAAAAUGGCCGCUGCCUCGUGGUCGACAUACGAACGACGACCACCCUGAGUUCGGUUUAAUUGAGAAGUGUCUGCGGUUAACCACAACGUUAUAAUGGUGAUCACUUCGUUAACCUGCAGCACACUCCUCACUUGGGUGGCCGUUCGUUCAGCAGUUUUGUUCGGGAAAAAGAGUCAUUCGAAUGGCUGGGCUAUAGACCCCAGCCAUUCAUACGAACGGGGACAAACAGACGAACGGGCAAAAAUCCAGCAGACAGAUGGUUCUGUCACAGGGGGGUUGAAGUUUGGGAUGGUUGGGGGAUAGAAUAUGGUUCUGGGAGAAUUGGGGGAUAGAAUAAGGUUUAGUGGGGUUGACGUUUGGGAUGGUUGGGGGCUAGAAUAAGGAUCGGGAGGAUUGGAGGAUAGAAUACGGUUUAGUGGGAUAGAAUAAGGUUCAGGUUAGGGGUUCAGGGGCAAUCUAUUUCACUCAGCAGUAUGUAGAUAAUGUUACAUGUUCUAUUAUUCAGAUGACUAAGCCCCUCCCCUGAUAUUAUUUUAGCGUGUCAGAUUCAAUUGGGUUAUGAAUCUUUCAAUAUUAUUUUAAUAAAGAGCAUUAUUUAAAGAAAA